CUGCAAGCAGUUCUCUUUGUACCUUGUAACAACUGGCAACUGGCUAGACUGCUGUUCACAUUGCUAAUCGUAUUCUUAUUUCUUUCUAUCAAGUUUCAUGGUAAUUAUUAAAUCUAUUAUCGCGAAUAAGUUUACUAACUGUGUAACAGAAUGAUAUGUUCAAUUUAGGGGUUGUGUUUUUGAUAGCAGUGUAGUGAAAUUGCAAGUCAAGUUUGGUGUUAGUGAUACAUGAUUUCACCGUUACCGUUUAUGAAUUAAGGUAUGAAGUGGAUUGGAGGAGGUGGAUGCCUGGAUGCUGAUGUGAGCUGGGCGGGCGGGCAUCGUGACGUCACUCCACCCUUCUGUCAUCGCCCGAAGCCUCCAAGUAGGGCAUGACAGGUUGAUCGAGUCCAGUCGUUCAGGUUGCACGAGGAUAAGGGGGUCCAGUCUUUCCCCCCCCCACACACACCUACUUCUCACCACUGUGGGACGAAGCUCGAGACUCGUUCCAAUCAGUGAGCAGAGUGAGAGGAGACGAGAACAGCACAGCGAGCGAAGUGAGUUCUGAGCGGUUGCAUGGAGGAGGAUUGUCAUUUAGUUGCUGUUGCUAGAGUGAGAGACGAGAUGGAGCGGACGCUGCAUUAUCAGGACAUGGAGGAGAGAGAGACAGACAACGCCAAAGAAUAGCCUGCUCAAACGGAACAGUGGGAAGAAGAAGAAAGAUAGAAGAAGACGCAGCAAAGAAGAUACAUUUUUACAAAAUAGUGGGACUCUAGUGUAAGAGUUUAAGUUAAAACUACAAACAUUGACAUUGAAAAGUGCAUAACAGUGAUUAUUAUUGAUGUGAAGUGAAAGGACUCGAAUUUACUUUCAUUCUUAAAAGACGUUGAAUUGAUUUUUAUUUUGUUUGUUAUGUUCUUGAUAUUGUGCAUGUUUUGCUGUAAAUAAUAAAUGCUUAUGGGGUGGGUUUCCUAUUUGGGGUAUUUUCAGG